GCCCUCGUGGAUUAUGGUAGAUCACCUUCAUCUAAUUGAUAAAAACUUUAGCAAUUAUGAAGACAUUGUAGGUUCGAAUCCUACCGAGGGUA